GACAGAGGCCCCGAGCGUUAGGCGGAAUCACUGGGCUUAAAGCGUGUGUAGGCGGAUCGUUAAGUGUCUUGUGAAAUCCCACGGCUCACCCGUGGAACCGCUGGGCAUACUGGCGAUCUUGGGCCACUCAGGGGCAGCUGGAACAAGCGGUGGAGCGGUGAAAUGCGUAGAUAUCGCUUGGAACGCCGAAGGUGAAAACAGCUGCUGGGAGUGCGCCGACGCUGAGACACGAAGCCAGGGGAGCGAACGGG
rnacentral:rRNA from 1 species